UUUACAAAACUGGGAUAUUCCGGUUUUUGCAGUGAAGGAAAGGUAUCUAUAAUAUGCGUAAAAACAAAUACAUUAUAUUGUCCAUGGAAUAGUCUCUAGCUAUUAAAAGUGAACAUUCUCUGUGUUAAAUUUUGAGUCCAGGUCUUUGCAAAUACAGUUUCAAGAUGUUUAACAAUUUCAUUCAAUGAUGGAGCACAGAUAAGAUGGCAGGUCCAUGAAAAUAUAACCAAUGAUGUCCCAGCCAGCUGAGUUUCUGUAGCUAUAUACUUGAGAGCUUAUUUGAUGACUUCAACAACAGCCAGUUUCUUAAACCAUGACUCCUCUUCAGUUAAUUACAAAUAGUUAUGUAAUGCUUAACAAUAUAUUUAUUUAAACAUAUUUAUUAUUGAAUAUUUAUUCCAAUGCAGAGUAUCUUUUGGAAAACAUCUUUCCUGGUAACCGAAUAACGGCUCGCUUUUAUUUCUCAGGAGCAGAGCAUCUUUUCAAGAGGUUUGGAUCCUUCAAAUUGUAAUAGACUUGAUCACCUGUACUGGGUAGUUCUGACUGCGGACGCAGCACAGUGGUGAAUGAGACUGUCUAGACAGCUAGGCCUCUUGGGAACUGUCUUGACUGCAUUGGCUAAUCUGGGACAACCUAAAAGAGGACAGCACCGUCCCCUGGGUUUGGGUCCCAGACUGUGGGACACAAUAGGAAGUAAAUGGAGUGGAAAGUAUGCAUUUUCUCUUGCUCUUGACCGUUGACGUGACCAGCUGCUUCAAGUCUCUGCCUCGACUUCCCUGGAAUGAUGAACUGUACGUUGGAACGCUGAGCUUCAGGGACUCCAGCCCUGACACAAAGUGCCGUCUUUGCCAAGCUCCAAGACGCUUUCUCAACUUGGAAACAAGCACGGCUUGAUGAGGCUAACACGACCAAGUUCAGCAGUCAGCACAAGGUCCAACCUGGGCCAUGUCUAGAAUACAGCUUGUGUGUCAUGAUCCACAGGAAAAACCUUCCAGAAGACUUCAAAUGGCGAGUCUUUUUACUGGUGCUCCAAAACGGGUACUCACCAAGGAUGAAUUCCUGAGAGUUAGGGUUCCACAAGAGAAGCCUGCUCACUUGAUAAUUUCCUGAGCUGGAAGAUUGCUCUGCUUUCUUCUCUGCUACCCACAGACCCUCUCUCAGCACCUGGUAUCUCUGUUCCCACUUUUAGUACACACCCCACUUGCCUUUGGAAGUUAUUUUGUAGAUCAUUAUCAAGCAUAAUUCCAGAGAUUUCUUUUGGGAUGUUGUCAAACUCUUGCAUCUUUGUGUAGUGUCAAUGACGUCAACGAAUCCUCAGCUCCCUUUCCUGCCUUCUUUCUUUCCCAGCACUGACCCCACAUCUGCUGCAAACACAAAUCUGAGAGUAAAGGAAUAUUUUCUCUCUGUG